CUACGGGGUGCUCCAGUGAGGAAUAUUGCACAAUGGGGGGAACCCUGAUGCAGCAACGCCGCGUGGAGGAUGACGCAUUUCGGUGUGUAAACUCCUUUUAUAUGUCAAGAAAAUGACGGUAGCAUAUGAAUAAGCACCGGCUAACUCCGUGCCAGCAGCCGCGGUAAUACGGAGGGUGCAAGCGUUACUCGGAAUCACUGGGCGUAAAGGACGCGUAGGCGGGUUGGAAAGUCAGGUGUGAAAUCCUACAGCUUAACUGUAGAACUGCAAUUGAACCUUCUAAUCUAGAGUAUGGGAGGGGAGAUGGAAUUAGUGGUGUAGGGGUAAAAUCCGUAGAUAUCACUAGGAAUGCCUAAAGCGAAGGCGAUCUCCUGGAACAUUACUGACGCUAAGGCGUGAAAGCGUGGGGAGCAAACAGGAUUAGAUACCCUUGUAGUC
rnacentral:rRNA from 1 species